rnacentral:lncRNA from 1 species
ACAUUCAAGGAAAAAAAAUCAUCUAAUCCUAGUCUGUCUCGCAAAGUAAGGGAUGUUUCCUUCUUUCCUCCAUCAACUUUCCACUGCUCUGACCUGCAAAACAUGAUAAAACAAUAAGUGGACAGCAUUACCCAGUAUUCCAUAAUUAAUUAAGAGAUCGUACGUGCGUGGAGGAGUAAUUAGCCAGGGGCAAAAGUGUAAUCACGUAAAGUACUAGUAUAAGAAUUGAACUUGCAUUGGUGUAGAAGAGAGGGGUUGGAUUCUAGUUCCAGCAUAAUUAAGGCUUUCUUCAUCCUCAAAAACCAGCCCACCAUUUGUAGCCAUAUAUCUCUGAGUUAUUACAAAGAAAUUAAAGCUAAUUAUUUCUU